UGUGGUGACUAUAGCGAAGGGGAUACACCUGUUCCCAUCUCGAACACAGAAGUUAAGCCCUUCAACGCUGAUGGUACUUGGAUGGAGACGUCCUGGGAGAGUAGGUAGUUGCCAAAU
rnacentral:rRNA from 1 species